AGGGUGUAAACGCUGCGGGCUUGGUGUUGGGGGUCCGUUUGAGGGCGCCCAGUGCCGGAGAGAAGUUGUUAAGCCUGCUGCUUGGGGAGUACGUCCGCAAGGAUGAAACUUAAAGGAAUUGGCGGGGGAGGCACCGCAACGGGAGGAGCGUGCGGUUCAAUUGGAUUCAACGCCGGACAACUCACCGGAUAAGACAGCGGAAUGAUUGCCGGGCUGAAGACCCUGCAUGACCAGCUGAGAGGAGGUGCAUGGCGUAGUCGUGU
rnacentral:rRNA from 1 species